ACUUGGAGGUUGUGCCCUUGAGGCGUGGCUUCCGGAGCUAACGCGUUAAGUCGACCGCCUGGGGAGUACGGCCGCAAGGUUAAAACUCAAAUGAAUUGACGGGGGCCCGCACAAGCGGUGGAGCAUGUGGUUUAAUUCGAUGCAACGCGAAGAACCUUACCUGGUCUUGACAUCCACGGAAGUUUUCAGAGAUGAGAAUGUGCCUUCGGGAACCGUGAGACAGGUGCUGCAUGGCUGUCGUCAGCUCGUGUUGUGAAAUGUUGGGUUAAGUCCCGCAACGAGCGCAACCCUUAUCCUUUGUUGCCAGCGGUCCGGCCGGGAACUCAAAGGAGACUGCCAGUGAUAAACUGGAGGAAGGUGGGGAUGACGUCAAGUCAUCAUGGCCCUUACGACCAGGGCUACACACGUGCUACAAUGGCGCAUACAAAGAGAAGCGACCUCGCGAGAGCAAGCGGACCUCAUAAAGUGCGUCGUAGUCCGGAUUGGAGUCUGCAACUCGACUCCAUGAAGUCGGAAUCGCUAGUAAUCGUGGAUCAGAAUGCCACGGUGAAUACGUUCCCGGGCCUUGUACACACC
rnacentral:rRNA from 1 species